GACGAACGCUGGCGGCGUGCUUAACACAUGCAAGUCGAACGAAGUGGCGAACGGGUGAGUAACGCGUAAUCAACCUGCCCUUCAGCGGGGGACAACAGUUGGAAACGACUGCUAAUACCGCAUACUGAAGGAGGGGAUUGCGUCUGAUUAGCUAGUUGGGGGGGUAACGACCCACCAAGGCGAUGAUCAGUAGGCGGUCCGAGAGGAUGGACGGCCAAAAUGGGACUGAGACACGGGCCAGGAUCCUACGGGGGGGAGCAGUGGGGAAUCUUCCGCAAUGGACGAAAGUCUGACGGAGCAACGCCGCGUGAGUGAUGACGGCCUUCGGGUUGUAAAGCUCUGUUAAUCGGGACGCGGUACCGGAAUAGAAAGCCACGGCUAACUACGUGCCAGCCGCCGCGGUAAUAC
rnacentral:rRNA from 1 species